CGUGCUCUCGGCAGAAAAGGAUUUUCUACGCCCCCCGCCCAUCACUUGGAUCUUGUCUGGGGAGGGGUGGGAUCUUUUUCUGGAAGUCUCCCCCCCCCACCCCCCGCGGUGAAGGAUUUGAGGCUGGGCUCCAAUCGAGGCGGAGGCUGCAGGGCCCGCGGGCGCCCCCCGCCCCGCGCACGCCUCCCGGGAGCCCAGGAAGGCGCAGCCCCGGGGGGCCCCCUGCGCCCCCGGAGGAGGUAGCGGCGGUGAGUCUACCCUCUUGCCUGCACGGCACCCUCCCCCGCGCCAGGGCAGGGGCCGCGGCAGGUGGGUGCCCAGGCCCCCGGGCCGGAGGGGUGCGGGGCGGCNCCGCCUGGCGGUGGGAGGGGGGGUGCGGAGGGGGGACGCGAGCGGGGAGGUGGUGGCGGGGGCAGCGCCGGGCUCUCCGGGGACCCGGCGCUAGACGCUCGUCUGGGCUGCGAUCCGCCGCCGCUGCCGCCCCCCGAGGCGGCGGAGCUGGGCCACCUCCCCCAGCCCCCUCCCCGGCUCCCGAGAGGGGCGUGUUAGGAGAGAAGGUGGGAUGGGGCGAGGCAGCCCCCCGCUCCCCCGAUGCCGGGGCUGGGAAAUUAAUGGGCGUUUGGAGAGGCGGCCACCCCGCCCCCACCCCGGAAAGCCCGUGCGGGAAACUGACUCGCUGCGUGACCCCGAUAUCAAUGCCGCGCGGAGAGCAGGCCGCCCGCCCGCCGGUCCGCGCCCGCCGCGCCCUGCCACUCCACGUGCGCCCCGGGCCGCGCGGGCUCGGGCCGGGCCCUGGGGACCAACGGAGAAGCAGGGAGGACAGUCCCCAGAGAGUUACCACCUCCCCGAAGUAAAGUUGGCGGCUCCCCCCUUCCUUCCGAGGAGCAGGCGGCCCNUUGUGUUUUGGGGGGGGGGGGGGGGGGGGGGGGGGGGGAGGGUUAGGGGAAAACUAGGUUCCGGGGUGCAGAUCCGGGUGCCAGGGCCCGAGACCACACAGUGUUGCUCUGGCAAAAGUUAGGGGGGAAAAAAAGGCAUUUUGAUUUGGGGAUGGGGGGGAGUGGCCUUUCUGCUUUCUCUCGCUUCCAAUCCCCACCGUGGGGAGCGUUGGAAUGUGCCGCUCAGAUCCUCUGAGGACACAUCCAUAUUUAUAAUUUAUUUUUAGGAGAAGUUGUGAAAAAGGAGGGGGGUGCAAGUGGGGAGAAAAGGUGGGGGGGUGGCCUUGUCAGAACCCGGAGGCUAAUUGAGCUAUUAAGGUGGAAAUAAUUUCCCCCAAUCCGGGCAAGCAGCAAAUUUGACUUUAAUGAAGGACAAUUAGGAGCAUAAAUAACUAAACUUUAGCUGGAUAUGGGGGGUGGGGUGGGGACCGUAUGCGGCACCAGGGGCACUUGCGCUUCGCUGAGGGACAUUUUGGGCGCCCAGCGUCUUUCCCGGGAAGCUUUCAGGCCUUAACAGUGGGGCUGGGAAGCAGAAGAAGGAGAAGAUACCCCCAAGGGGCAGGCAGAUACCCUCCCCCAUCCCUCCCACCACGGUGCUGGCUUUUCCAUGAGAUCAACUGUCAUCCCUGCAGGAAAACCCAGGAUUCCUUUAAUUAUCCAGGAUUCUCCAAAACCCUGCCUCAGAGACAGCCUGCCCCAGUGCUGUGAGCUGUGGAGGGGAACACAUUUCUUUGGAACCGUUUCGGAGGCUGUGGUCCCAGAAUCGGGGUUUUGAGGGCGAGAUGAGUUUAUGUUUUAUCCAACUGGCCCACAAAGUCCCGCUUUUGGGGUCAUUCUAAACAUCGAGGGAUUCGGGCCCAGCAGCCCGUGGAGAGAGCCAGCCAAGAGCUAACACCUCCAAGCUGCACGUCUAAAAGCUGAUUGGAGAAAAGGGGGGAGGUUUGCUACUUUUGGUAAAAGUGAAAGGCUGUACGGUGGGGGUGGGUUGAAUAUUCUGUGUGUGCGUGUGUGUGUUCUCAGUUUGUUGAACCUGCUGUGUUUUUAAGGGCCUCUGGCCUUGCGAGGCCAGAGAGAUAAGGGAAUUGUACUGUUGUUGUUUUUUCCCCCCCUGUGGUUUAGUGAGAUGUCGUAGGAUUUGAAGGGACUGAGUGGCAUACCCGUCAUGUCAAAGUGUUUGUUUGACACCCCAGAAUCACACUGGGAAUGGUAAUUACAUUAGAUUUGUCUUCAAAUUUGUCAAAGGAGCAACCUUCUGCUUGCUGCCACCGGCAGUCACAGGAUUUCUUUGCCACCUCGCUCUAAGCCAUUUUAUAAGAAACUCGGGACACUGGGUUCCCAGGAGCUCUGCAAGGCGGGGGAGGUGGGGGCACCCAUACCCUUCCCAGAACGCUGACCUUAUUACGUCGUAUUAAUUUACACACACAGCCCUGCCCUCCAGCCGUGACCUAUACAGACACCCACAUACCUUAAGUUUAUUUACUUGCAAACCUGGGUUUCAAUCAGGUGUCCACCGCACAGAAUAGCCAAGUGAGCUGUUCCUGAAGAACUUUGGAACACAAGGUUCUUGCUAGAGGAUUCUGUGUUUAAUAGACACGACACAUGUACACACAGAUGACAUUUGCGCUGCUGGGGGCCUUGGCAAAAACUGUCCUUUACUCCCCGGGCUCUUUCUCUUUGUUAUGGGACACGAUGAAACAGCACAAAAUCCAGGAGCCCAGAAUUGCAGCGUGGCUCAAUGAUGGGCAGUUGUCACGUUGUGACAUAAAUUGUGUUUGUGCUUUGCUGAAUUGUCACCGCCCUGGCCGCACCAGAGAGCUGUCAGAUCCUAUUUGCUUUGCUAAAUAAGGAUCUCUCGCCAAAUUAGCCUUUAAUGAUACUUCCACAAAUAGGGUGUUUUACGUGAAUUAACGAGGCCGGAAUCGGGAACGUGGCCCCAAGAUACUGAGCCAUAGAACCGGGCGGGGAAGCCGUAUGUUAACAUUGCUGGAUUGCGAAGUGCGGGGAGCCAGGCGGAGUUGCGAGCUGCGUGUGGAGCUGGUCGGCUGUCAGGCGAGCACUUGCGAGAGAGAGCACAGCCCUUGCUUCCACGAAGCCCUCUGAAACCGAGCCUGUAACGCUGAAUACAUUUAGCGAACUCUGCCCCCCCCACCCCCCCACCCCCCCACCGAGUCUGGAAACAGGCAAAGUAGUAUGGUGGAGAGAUUAUAAAUCAGGACUUUGCAGUGAGAGGUCCUCAGUGAUUCGGCAGAGAAUCACAGCUUCUUUUCAUAUUCCCACCACCCUCCCCUCUCCCUGCCCUCCCUGCAGCAAUAAGAAAAAAAAAGAAAAGGAACGUGUAACCACUGAAUAUGCUGAAUGCAUUUUGGCUUUUCUCCUUUGGCCCGUCUGUGUGAAAUUUCAUGAAGCGGCUGCUAUCCCCCCCCCCCCACCAAGAAGUGUGGGUUUAGAAGGAAAAAAAAAUAGCAACUUUGAAAUUAGUUCUUCGCAAUAUACAAGCAGAGCCCAUCUCCUAGGGACAAAAAGUUUUCGAAGGGGGUGGAAAUGUAUAGCAGCUAGGGGUGAGGAAGAGGGGGUAGUGUGACGAAUAUUUCCUUAAGAAUGAAACGCGUUUGUGAUGCCAACCAGUGAAAAGUGGGAAAGUCCCUGUGAGAGACCACUCCCUCUAUUUCUCCCUUCCCAGUACCCCAGUACCGCUCCCCAAAAAUGCACGCGUGCACGCACGCACACACACACACACACUUUAUAUUAAGAACAGAAAGAAGAAUCUUGCCAGCUAAAGGGAUAGCUUUCUAGAAGUGGAUCGGUGCGCCCUCUUUUCAUUGGGAUCGGAGAAUAAAUACAGCUCUUAGGGGCAUGAGGAUAAAAAUGAGCCUGAUGAAAGUUGAGGCAAACUCAGGUCCUUAGACUCGUUUGCCAGCCCCGAGGUGCCUACGCCAACAAAAGAAAAUGGUGUUGAUCAGAAUUCACGUAAGCCGGAAUUUUCUCUCUUGCCCGGCAUCGGGAUGAUGUAAAAGGCUUCUUUGCGGCUUGUGCAUGGAACGGGGUGCAAAGAAACCCUGAAACACGACGCAAACGCGAGCUAAACAACCAGAGACUCUUUGGGCCCCGUAGCCGCGCGGACUUUUACAAGCAAAAGGGUGGAUGUGGUGGAGAGUUUGGAAGGACUGAACUUUGGGGGCCCUCCCGUCACCCUGAGCACCCCUGGGGCUCUCUUCAGAGCAGCCUUACCUCGCAUCUUCAGUUACAGGGGGCACGUCAGUGUUUACAGAACCCUCAGGUUUCUGAUUUUACAUCAUCUUCCUUUUAUAACACAUCUGCAUUUAAGGAACCACAAGGCCAGUUUGUGUCCCUGAAUGGCCACGCCACUCCACAAAAGGGAGACAGACCUACAAAAUGUGUACGUCGCUGUCACAAGAAAGCCACGGGGAAAAGAGCCACGGGAAGAGGGAGGCGGGAGGGAGGGGGGCAAAGUGAGCCUUUUCUCCAGGAUCUGGCCUCCGCAGGGAAGGGAGUCGGCGUCUACCUUCAGUCUUCAGCCAGCCGGGCAGCGCGGUGUUCUCAGAGGCGUGUGGAAAACUAGGCUCUCUUGUUGGAAUCGUGCGUGAGAUCAGUGCUCAGGCCUGUUGGCAUCUCUGCCCAAGACAGCGUGGACCGCUGCCAGCCCAGGCCUGAACGUGGCCCUAGAGGCACCGCUGGAGCCCACACGAGCCCCAAGACAGGUGUCCGGGGGGUCUCUGCUCCCGGGACCCAGCCGGCAGCAUUUCUUGGCUACAGGAGGGGUGUGUGGCUCCUGAGGGACUCCCCAGAGACUCUCAGGGCUCACCGGCCGUUACCACGUGGUCCGUGCUGAGGGCAGUACCUCACUUUGCUAAGCCCGGCCUCCCAGAUGCUCAAAGGGAAACAGAGGAGGCCGCCCUAUGGGCUUGGGGCAAAUCCGCCUGGGCGAGAGCGGAGAGAGCGGACGUGAGUCUAGAAGGUUCAGGGGCGGAGCUGUGCUUCUGCAGGCCAGCAGGAAGUCUUCUCCACUCUCCACUUGGGAUGGGCCCGGGGGGCACGGUGUGGGGCCAGCAGCCCAGAGAGAACUGGGUGGGCAUCCCCAGGGAGAAUGCGCCGAAAGGAAACCCGCUCAGGCAAGGUGCACCCAGCCCUGAGUCACCAGUCCCACGGGACUCCCAUUUGGCCCCAGCAACCGGACUCCAGGCCACCAGAAGGCCUCGUGGGCUCCUGAUUGUCUCUUAGGAUGGCAUUAAAAGGUCCAGACCAGGCACUUGUAGGCCAGGCCAUAUUUAGCCUCGGGUUCACCCAGAGAAUAUUUUAGGUGCUGCUUGAAAGAAGAGAUCCGGCUGGGUUGCCAGCUGUCACAUGGCGAGUGUAGAAUCGCGCCCUUGCAGGCCUGGCCCAGACGGCUGGGUGCUCACCAGCACAGAUGCCCAGGGUCCCCGCCAGGGCUCCGGGGCCACGCGGCAGGUGCCAAGGAGACAGCGAGCGCCCAGGGAGCCGGUUCUGUGUCAGGAAGGCUUUGCGUCCCGUUUUCGUUCCGGUGGUGAUAAGGUGGCCUCCAUUGACAGAGCUCCCAGAGGCUGUUUUCAGCCCCUCUCUUGUCUCGAUGGCCCAGUGUGAUAUGCCAGCCUGCCGUGAGAGCAGCCUUCUCCUCCUUGGGUGUCAGCCACUGUGGAGAGCUUAACCCUUUCAGGGUUAACCCUUUCAGCCAGGCGUGCUGGCUGGCAUGGGGGGGGGGGACGCGGCCCCCCUGCAGAGACCUUGAAGGCCACAGGCCCCAGGGGAGCCACUGCCCUGGACUUCCCAGUCCUCAAUCACUAGCGGCCAGACCUGAGAGGCGGCAUCCCGGAUCUUAGCAGGCAUUCUCCCCGCCUUGUGCCCCAUCAGUGAUGACCAGCAGGCUCCCCUCCCCAAGCCUUCAACCUGCAGUUGGUUGGAAACAGCUGCUCCCUUCCCGCAUGUUUCCUCGCAGGUUCCCAAGUUGACCACCUUUCCCACAGUCCCCGCGAGGAGGUAUUGACGGAUCCGUGGUUUCCUUAGAUCAGUAACGAGAGUGGGGAGUAAUCAACCAUUCGGGGUCUUGGAGAGACGUCACGGGCGAGUCCUGGGAGUCACCUGGUGUCAGGGGACGAGCCUCAUGACCCGCGCUGGGAUUCCAGAUCUUGCUUUUCCGGGCACAGAGGAGGCGCGUCGGUCUUGAAGCCGCCGCACACAGACACAUUUAGCCAAUUACCAGCCAAUAAUCGUCAGCCUUUGGGGGAGCCUGGGUGGAGCCGCCGCAUACCGUGAAAGCUUUGGCUUGUUUAAAAUUUGCUCUAACUUUGUACGUUUCUUCCUUUUUAGUUUUGGCUCUUGGUGCUCCGGGAGCCACCACUUCCUGCCCAGCUGGUUCGUUACCGCAGGGAAAAUGAGGGACUUUUGGGGGCAGAUGUGUUUCUAUUCCACUAUCAUAAUGCCCCUAAAAAUCCUUAUUGCUCUUGCAGUAUUCCUCGGGGCCCCUGGGCCGGCUGGGAAGACGGCAGCUCUGAGUUCCUCCAGCACCCAAAGGAAGAGAGAAAGAUGCCCCCCCCCCAACCCUCCCCAGACACCUCCUUCUCCACUCACAGCGCUCAGAACUGGUCACUGCCACGAGCAAGAAAAAGGCGCCACGCACAGACAUUGGUUGCUAAACAUGCUUUUUGUCUCCACGGGCAGAGGGCUGGAAGUCAGACCCGGGAAACAGGGCAGCCGUGGGGACUGUCGGCCUUGGCCUUUGCUCUGGGGGUUCCUGGCAGGGAGGUGGGGAAAGUGGAAAAGAAACAGGCAUUACCUGUUUGACCAGGCGAAUGAGGCGAAAAUUUCACGUUCAGCCUGGCCCUGGGCCUCUGGGAUCUUCACCUUGGCACGGGGCCCUGGCCGGUCCUGGCUUUCUCCCCAGCUCCCCGAGACACAUCACUUUCCCACUCUCUGCCUCGGUUUCCCCAUCUGCCAAGGGAGGGCAACACCCCAGGAUCUGGCCUCAAGGCCAGUGGGUUGUACCCAGUGUUAUGCGCUCAAGUGCAGUACAAGCCCCGAAGGUGCUCUGAAAAUGGGGGAGUUGAGGCAUUAACCAUGGAAGGUGUUAGUACUAAUAUUUACUGAACACACGCCUUAUAUGCUGAGACGACCCAGACAUGGAGGAGAGACCACAGCCCAACAGUGAGCACAGGUUUCUGGAAUCAGCCUGCCUGCACUUUGUGACCCCCGCUGUGUCCCCCCCCCCCAGGCAAAUGACUCAACCUCUCCGCGCUGCCAUUUCCUCCCACGUGAAACCCACCCCUCGGAAUAGCGAUCUCCCGAGUCUGAUGCACAGAUCUACUCAAUAACUUUAAGCGGCACCCGGCUAAGGACGUACGUUUCUCUCAUAGGUAUUUCUUUGUACAGCUCAUUUCUAUUUACAGCAAGCAGUUGGUUUGCAAUUUGGGGCACGGGGAGAAGGGCCCUUUGUGGUACACGGUUGACUGAGCCUGGGGCAGAAAUCAAGAUGGAGCGGGGUGGGUUCCCAAUUCAAAUCUGGGGAGGGGUCCGCCUGUGACAGCCUGGAUGUCGCAUGUCUUCCCUUCUCGCGGGUGCCCGACCCCUUCCCUGCUCACCAACACAGAGAUCUCCGCCCCUACACCCACGCAGAGCUCUGAUGUGUCUCUCAUCUUGGGGUCGUGACGACCCAUGACCUCACCAGGGAACCUGUCGGCCUCAGUUUCUCGGCGACAUGGGGACAAUAAUGAACCCUCUGUCCCAGAUCGAGGAGUUCACAGGGCUCCAUGGGGCAGCUACGAUGGUUCACCGACAGCCCCAUGAGACAGGCAGGGGCCACAGCAGUGCCUUCAGCCUGGAGGGACACUCCUUCGACAGGCCACCCCAUGCCAGGCCUGGGCGCCAGCUCCCUGCCUCCCCCCCNCCGGGCCGGGGGCCCCCCCCCCCCCCCCCCCCCCCCCCCCCGCACCCCGGGCUGGUGGCUUUACAGGGAAACAGCGGGCGCACGGCCCCAGCCGGCAGGGGCGGACUCUGGUUUCACUUUCUGCUGUGUCAUGGGGUGGGGGGUGGCAUCGGGGCCCAGCUGGCCAGCUGGGGCAGGCACCGAGAGCCUGGCGGCCAGCUGCCGGCCCAGCUGCCAGAGCACAGCCCACGCCCCUGCCCUGCAGGCUGCCAGGAUGGGGGCUGGGCCCGCAGGCACCCCUUCUGUGCCUCUCUCCCGCUCAGGGGGGAGACCCCCAGGUGAGAAAAGCCAGGAGUGCCUUUGGCUAGGGACCUCCCCCAAACAAGUUCUUGAGCCACUCAGUCUGGAGGUUCUGAGAACUGCAGCCGCUCGUUCUGGAUCAGAGCGCCCCGGAUGGACACGGGCUUCCGGCCUCCCGUCACUGGGCACGUGUCUGUUGCGGGCCUACUGUGUGCUAAGCACCGUGCCGGGUCCCAGAGGCACAGCCGGGAGCCCGACAGCCCCUGUCCCCAUGGGGCUCCCAGCUGAAUUGGGAGCCACAGGUGGGAGAGUAAGCAAAGAAAUUAUCCCAUAUCGGGGCGGGGGGGGGACGUUUCGCACUGUGUGCGUGGCGUCAGCAUCUGAGAGAAGGGGCAUGCGUACACGCGUGUGUACUCCGAUGUGUGUGUGUCAGUAAUGUGCGGGCUCCUGGGACACAAGAGCAAGAUUAUGACCCGAGCCGAAGCCAGAAAAUUGACUGCCUGAGCCACCCAGGUGCCCCUGAUCCAAACCUAUUCAAAUGACACCUUCCAGGAAAGCAGGUCGUCGGUGAUGCGGGGCCAGCCCCAACGGCCCCUGAAGGGGGUGCGGAUGUGCUUCUGGUUGCUCCCCUCCCCGUCCCAAACCCAUGUGCCAGCGCUCUGUAGCAGAGCGCCUUCAACAGCUUCUGGCGGGGAGCUCAGCCACGGCACAAAUAUUUAGAGACACGCGGGGGGCCUGGGUUCCUGAGCAUCUGUUACUGGGGAAGACGCAGAGUUCUGUUGAAAAAAAUACUCAGGUUCUAGUUCUGGGCAGGUUCAAGUCCCAGCUGGGGACCAGGGGCCACCGUUUCCUGGAUUGUUAAAUGAGAGGGUUUGGAUGUGUGGAUUAAAGGUCCUUUUUUCCUCUGUUAUUACAGGUCUUUUAUACCCUCAAAGCUCACAUUAUAAAUAUUACUAAGAAGCAAGGAAUCAUCUCAAAAGCCUUUUUAAAAAAAUUUUUUUAAUAUUUAUUUAUUUUUGAGAGAGAGAGCGAGCAAGCGAGCAGGGGAGGGUCAGAGAGGGAGACACAGAAUCCGAAGCAGGCUCUGGGCUCCGAGCUGUCAGCACAGAGCCCGACGCCGGGCUCAAACUCACCAACCGUGAGAUCACGACCUGAGCCCAAGUCCGACGCUUAACCGACGGAGCCACCCAGGCGCGUCUCAAAAGUCUUUAAGAUAUUUAUGACAAUGAUAAAAAUAUGUUUUCGCCAACUGUUUUCACAGGCAUUAUCUCCAUUGCUGCAGAUAACCCUGUAAAGGAGGAGUUAGCAGCUUCCUUUUCUAAAUAACAUAAGCACCCAUGUAUAUGGGCUUUAUAUAUACGAGGCACUUUACACAUAUGAAGUCAUUUUAGUUGCCCAAGCAACAUGAAAAGGAGGCACAACUGUCCGCAGCUUGCCGAUGAGGAAAUGCUUAGAGGAACUGACCUGUCCAAGGUCACACACCCAGCAGGUGAUGAGCUGGGGUUCAAGCCUGGCUCUCCCAUCCCCGGGACCCGCAAACUUUGUCUCUAAAGGGCCAGACGCUAAAUAUUUUCAGCUUUGCAGGCCUCGUGGUCUGUGUCCCAGCUACUCCACUCAGCCAUUAGGACAAAAAAACCAGACACGGACGAUACAGAACAGACAUGCCUGGGUGUUCCAAUAAAACUUUAUUUACAAAAACAGACAUGAGCUGAAUUUGGUCCACAGGCUGCGAUCGGCCCGUGUCUGUUUCAGACUCGAAACCUGCCUUCGGGUUCGGCCCUGGCAACAUUUCUUUCCCACCCUCUCUCCCUACCUGUGCCGCUACUAAGAGUUACGUUUUCGGUCAGAGACCCCUGGCUCUGGAGAGACUGAGUCGGCCUCUCGUUUCUUGAGGGAAUCACAAAGCUCUUGGAAUUUACAACUGCUAGGAAUUAUUAGUGACUGCCAUAACAGAACACGGGGGGGGGGGGGGCUUUUAAAAUUGUGAUUUUAAUAGCUGUGACUGGGGAACUUUUGAAGAGGAAAGUGUUAGAGUUUUAGAAAGACACCUCAGCGGGGCACUGUGGCUGUGGAAGGAACUUCUCCUCAGAGAAGAUCGUUUUCUGAAGUCUGUACGACUGGGAAAUAGAAUGAAAAACAUCUUAAGGCACAAGAAGGUGACUGAAAGGAAGACGGCCACUUGCACGUGUGCAGGGAGAGGGUGCAGGAGAGAGAGAGUUCCUUCUUACCACCCAAAAAUUUAGCAUCUGCCACCACCCCCACCCCCCCUGCCACCCCACCCCCGGCAUCCUGAGCGAUCACUCGUGUACUUUCUUCUCUGUCGAUGCGCCUGUUCUGGACAUUUCCUAUCAAUCACACGCGGCGUGACGCUUUGCGACUGGCUUCUUUCAUUUAGCAUCGCGCUCCCAAGGUCCGUCCACGCGGCAGCACGUGGCAGCACUUCAUUCCUUUUUGUGGCCCAGUGCUGUCCACGUUUUAUUCACCCACCUGCCAGCUGACGGGCAUCUAGAUCGUUCAUACGUUUUGGGUGUUAGGGAUAACGCAGCUUUCCACACGUGCGUGGGUGUGCCCUGUCACAGUCACUUCUCUUCCGCGUUAUACCUACAGGUGGCAUUUUCCGGGUUAUGUGGAAGAUGCGUGGUUAGCCUUUUAAGGAGGAUAUACUCAAAGGAGGGAAAAUGCUGUUAGGAGCACCCCGGGCCCACCAUCCAGGGCCACCUAGUACCAACCUUCGCCAGUUCUGAUUCAUCUGCCUCCCGUCCUGCCCCCCUCCCCGUGACUCUCUGAAGAGUUCCAAAGCCAAUUCAAGCGCUGACUUGAGGUUGCUCCCUUGGCUGAGAGGUCGGCGCUUGUCUUUUGUCCCAGACCAACAGAGCCUCCUACACCCACAUCCUUGUGUGGACGGAAGUGGGGAGAAUGGGCGAACUGGGGCACGGUCCCGAGUGGGUCGACGUGGGGUGGAAAGGAAACAGCUCCUGAGAAAAGCAGGACUGGCUACAUAGUUGGCACAGGGAAAGUGUGGAGCCCUUGGUUCACAAAGUAUUAAGGAGUUCAAGAUGACAACAUCGGAGCAUUAAAGCAAACAUAGGCCUUGUGCAACCGUCUGUGUCACGUCCCCAGGAGGCCAGCGAAAAGGGUGCCCAGGCAGAAUGAGUUCAUCAGACACGGGAAGUUAGAGCCUUGGUGCCUAGGAGAGACCUAAGCACCCCUCACCUCCAAGGCUUGGGACGUUUCCAAGGAAAGUUGGGUCUCCCAUGUGGGAGACAGUGGCACGUGGGACAGAGUUCAAGCCUAUUCCAUUGGAAUCUCCAAAAAUAAGAUGACCCCAGUUGACUUGUGGGUUAGAAGUACUUAAAAAAAAAAAAAAAAGAAUUAGCCAUUGGCCCAAGCCUUCCUCCCUAAGAGCCUGCAGUUGUUUUAUUGAAGCCACGCCAUUUUGUCCUGGACCCUCAGUGUCCCCUGAUCUCACAGCGGGUCACGGGGCUUCAGGCUGAAGAACAGAGGCCCCCCGGUUAGCAAACAGUCCAGCGCAGCGGCAGGACCCGGGAUGCCCUUUCGAGGUAGGUGGCCAUGGCGGACACCGGCGACCAAUCAUGGCGCCCCAAACCCUCUCAGCUCCAAAGAGCUCCACCGACCAAAUGAACCGGAUUUCCCGCGCUCGCGUCUCAGCCCAGGAACGUAUCAGCUUUACUCAAGACCGCGAGAGAUUCGAAGCCCCCAAGUGUGUGUUUGGAUGAUGCCCAGCGAGGCCCUCAUGCCACCAGGGCCCUGUCACGGAGGGCAUACGACACGGCUGGGAAGGGGGGCCAGGGGACGAGAGAGGGACUCCUUGAGGAAAGAACAGAUAAGGACCUUGCACCUCCUCCGGCGGCAUGGGCAGUAAGUGAACGUUUACCCACGCUCUCCGUUCUCCACCUACACCUUCACCUGUGGGUCAAGCAAUGCCCCGCUCAACACAGGGACGGACCUAUAGGGGCAGGAGAGGCCAUCGCAAACCAAAGGUGAAAAAAAAAAAUUUUUUUUUAAUUUGAUCAGAGUAACAUAAUGCCAGUAGCCAAAAAGAACUACGCCAGGUCUGAGUAAAUCCCGCAGGCAGCUUUGGGGCUGGGGGACAGAGGAGUGGAUCUCAAAGCGUCUGACCCAGGAUUGAGGCAAUUCUCGGCAGAGUCAAGGUAGAAGCAGCACAGCCAGCAGAUGUCUCCGGAGGGGUUGGGUGCCUCUGGGUUUUUUGUUGUUGUUGUUGUUAUUUGUGGGUCUUGUGUUUCGUGGGGUUUUUUGUUUGUUUUUUAUUUUUUGUUUUUUGCAAGCACCUGCUUCCCGCCUUCUGCCAACAGACCGGACGCCAUGUGCAAAUAUGGCCGAAGGUGGCCGUCACCCAUCCUUCAGCUAUAGUAAUUGGGCCAAACAUGGGCACGUGACCAAAUAUGGCCAGUCACCGCCUCCCACUUCUGUGCCUGACCACAAGCGGUCCGCGUGGGGUCGUGGGACCCUAGCAAGGCCAGACAAGGCUCGUCCUACCUGGACCUGGAGGGAAAGUUGCCUCAUCCCCACUCUCUGGCGUCCAGAGAUACCCGCGAUCGCAGAGACUGAAGUUAAUAAGCUGCAAGAGGGAGACAUGAGCGAGGGGGUGGGGUGGGGAGGACGGAAAGAGUCCGGCGCUAAUUUCUGACCCCAGAGCCUGACGGGUCCCGGAUCCGGGAGCAGCUCAGCGUUGCCCUUUUUCCAUCGCAGCUGCCAGAGUAGCGAAUCCCCGAUUGUACCUCAGAUCACUUCCGGUGUUUGUGCGGCCCAGAGCAUCCGCACUCAGGACGUGGGGACUGUUCCUUUGGUGGAUUGUGUGAAACCGACAGGGGUGGGUUAUCCUCGGAACUCAUUAUCCCCCCCCCAGGUGUGCCUGCUGUACUUGAGAAUACGACAACCCCCAGGCACGUCUCGAGGCACCGCCGCAACGCACCGUUAGUUUCCCACUGGAUCAGAGCUACGUCCUUGGACUUGAAGUCACACCCUUUUCCUGCUUGCCUCGGUCUCCCCAACCUCGCCUCCAACACACACCCACUUCUCCUCCCCACCCUGCCCUGCUCUCCGCCAUGGGCCGGGCAGGCAGCUUAUCCUGGCCAAGCUCCGAUGCCUGCCAUGUUGUUUGUGGCGAUCUGUUUAGGGCUGUCCCCUCCCCCCACCUCUUGAGCCUGGGGACCCUGGACAUCUUUGGGCCCCCAGCUGCGGGCACACAGUAGGCAGGCAGCAAGCGUGGGAGGAAGGGAGGUGGGGAAGGAAACUUGAGGGGAGAAAGGGCAGUUCAUUCCUAUUUGUUGUGGUCCAACCACUGGGUCGCUGGCGGGGUCAAGUUCUGUGCUUCUUUGCUCUGCCGGAUACUCUCCCUUCAGGUGGACACACAGCUCCUGCCCACACCGCCUUCAGGGCUCUACUCCAGUGUCACCUCCCCAUGCCCCAGCCCCCUUCUGGACACUUGUCAUCCUCCCAUGUUUUCUUGUUCUCCUUGGCCCCCUCCACCACCGCGGGUCUUUCUCUGUGUUCCAUUUAUCUUACAUACUACCCCUCCCACCUCAGGGAUGUGUACCGGCUCCAGGAGGUCAGGCAUCUUUGUUCUCCGCUGUCCCCUCAGCACCUAGACCCGGGCCUGUCACCAAGGACAUGCUCAAGAAAUACCCGUGCUGUGAAUGAACGAAUCUUUUGUGUUCCCCCCAAACACACAGGCCAGCCAGUCCUUCUUUCUUUCUCUUUUUAAGUUUAUUUAUGUAUUUUGAGAGAGAGAGAGAAAGAAAGAGAGAACAUGAACAGGGGAGGCAGAGAGAGAGAGAAUCCCAAGCAGGCUCUACACGGCCAGCGCAGAGCCCGACGCAGGGCUCGAACCCAUGAACCCUGAAAGCAUGACCAGAGCCGAAAUCAAGAGUCAGACAUUUAACCUACUGAGCCACCCAGGCGCCCCCAAACUUGUUCCUUAAAAUACCUCUGUGCUUCCUUCAUGCAUUUUAGAGGCGUUAGAAAAGCAGGCGUGGUGUUAGUUCCCUAGGGCUGCUGUAACAAGUGACCACAAACCAAGAGGCUUACAAUGACAGAAAUGGAGACUUUCACAGUCCUGGAGGCUAGGAGUCCAAAGUCUGGCAGGGUCACAUGCCCCCCCCCCCCCCCCCCCCCCCCGCCCUGGAGCUUCAGGGGAAAAUCUGUACCUUGCCUCUCCCAGCUUCUGGUGGCUCCCAUCGUCCUCGGCCGAUGGCCCCAUCAUUCCAAUCUCUGCCUCCGUCUUCCUGCUUUCUAACUCUGUGUCUGUCUCCACUUCUUUCUUUAAGGAGGCACAUAGUACUCAUUUGGAUAACCCAGCAUAAACUCAUCUCCAGAUCCUUGACUUAAACACCUCUUUUGCCACACAAGGUAAUGUUCAUAGGUUCCGGUGACUGGGAGGGUAGACGUGUCCGGUAUCUCUCUGGGACCCACCAUGCAGCCCACCACAGAUUAUUUGCAUUAAGAAGCCGGAGAAGCAAGGAUCCCCACCACUACUCCAUUGGCCUGCCAGAAAUGUAAGGAAAGAGUAUUACCCUUUUAUAUUGUUCCUGAGUGUGGACUUCAUCUUAUUUAAUUUUUUAAUGUUUGCUUAUUCUUGAGAGAGAGAAAGAGGGCAAGCAGCAGAGGGGCAGCGAGAGAGGGAGACACAGAAUCCGAAGCAGGCUCCACGCUCUGAGCCGUCCGCGCAGAGCCCGACGUGGGGCUCGAGCUCACAAACUGCGAGAUCAUGACCUGAGCGGAAGUCUGACCCUUAACUGACGGAGCCACCCAGGCGCCCCUGGACAUCGUUUUAAAUACACUAUGUUAUGUCAUUGCCCCAAAUUGUAAAAAUAAUACCAUGCUCAUGGCAAGAAAAAUAGUACAGAAGAGAAAAAUGUGGGAAAUGAAGGACCCCCUUGGCCAUUUCUCUUUAAUUUCCCUUUCUAAAAAGUAGCCACUGUAUGCAGUUUGCAUAAUCUCCAUACAUUUUCAAGGCAUGUUCAAGUGCACUUUUUUUUUUUUUUGCUCAUAACGUCAAGAGAGCCGGGGGGCGUUCCAAUGUAUCUUGAAGACGUGACAGCCCAGACCCACCCCAUUCUUUCUAAUGACUUCUAGCAUUGCACCAUACGUAACCUGUCCCCUACCGGCCAGCAUUUCACUUAACGGCAGGAUUUCGCCAUUAUAACAUACACUCUCUUUGGCACGGGUCUAAGUACACUCCUAGGAUACAUUCCUAGAAGCGAGAUUUCUCAGUCCAGAGCAUAUGUGCAUUUCUAAUUCCGACAGCCGCUGUCCGGUGCCCAUCCACAGCGCACGCGCGGGGUGCCUGUUUCCGCACCCUCACCCGCCCCAUCAAGGGCACAGUCCGUCAUGGGAAGCAAGUCCCAAGUGAGGUACGCGGGCUUCCCACGUGGCCCCGGGUGAGGUGGACGUGGCCCCUGAGCUUUCGGGGAUGAUAACCUGUUCAGAGUUCUCAUCAGCUUGGGUUUUAUAAACAAAGGCAGAGUCUGGGGAGGGGAGCCAGAACCGUGCAGGGAGAAGCGUUGUGCAGCUCAGUAUUUAUUUCUUUAGUGCAGUUAGAACUUAAAUAUGGUCAAAACAUAUUCUUCUUUUAAUUUACACAAACAAAUAUGUUCCCUGGCUGACACCUCCGGUGCCAAGUUUCUAGGAGAAAUGAAAUUCUGCUGUGAGAUUAUAAACCAACCACUUGGGAGAAGAUGGGAACAGAAAAGCCCCUGCAAGUUUGCUUUUCACGUCCAGAACUGGCUGCUGAGAGGUGUCUCUUUCUGUGUUCGCUGCAGAUAAGCCCGCCAGUAAUUUUAGCGAAUGAGCCGUGGCACACAUAAAGGCCAGAGGAUGGAAACGCUCCGGGUUUUGAUAAAAAAGCAGUUCUGGCUCGGCUCCCUCCUGCUAGUCGCGCAAAGACCUAUCCGGAGAAGGGCUGAUGAAUUGAGGAACAAGAAACGAGGCCAACGUGAGUCUCCUUUCAAGCGCUGUGCUAAUAUGAAACCAAACAACUUGAAAUUGUUCCAAGAGGGGAUUAAAGCAACAUGUUAUUUUGAGUGAUUGCUUAAUUUAUUGAGCUGCGGCUAGAUCUGUAAUGAAAUACAGCCCUUGCAACUGAUAACGU
rnacentral:lncRNA from 1 species